AAAAAGAGAACAACCACUGCAUACUGUACUUAUUUAAAUAACAAUAGAAGAAAACAGAACAUGGCACAAAGAGAACAAUUAACAUUGUGUUUAACACAAGUGAAUAAGCACAAGUGAAAACACAACAUUAAAAACUUGUUUGCCCGCGAAUUAACAUUAAAAAUGUUAAUUCUUGAGGAAACAAGAGAACCUGGUCUUUUCAAGAUAAAUGUUUAUACUUCAAAACGAAUAAUGUAAAACAACUCUAAUGACAAAUAUUGAAAUCGAAAGCGUAACACCAGGUUGUUUUACAAAUAAAAUAUAUGGCUCAAAGACAAAGUAAAUCAGACACGCUUUUACUUUUUUUAAUACAACUAACUGUUUUUGGCAAAGUGACCAAAAUUUUCGCUUGAGUAUGGAAAAUAAUGAUUUUAUCGCGAUGUCUAGAUGCUAAGUGAAGUCCAUUCGUUCCAGUGCGAGAUCAGUUGUCACGUGGUUGGCAAGACAUUGUCGUUGACUGACAGUGUGACCAGAUUUGGUAAAAAGUUUUACUUUUGGUAAAAUUCAUCGUUAAUUUUCAAGAACA